rnacentral:rRNA from 1 species
UACAGAGGGUGCGAGCGUUAAUCGGAAUUACUGGGCGUAAAGCGUGCGUAGACGGUUAUUUAAGUCGGGUGUGAAAGCCCCGGGCUCAACCUGGGAAUUGCAUUCGAGACUGAAUAGCUAGGGUACGGUAGAGGGAAGUGGAAUUUCCGGUGUAGUGGUGAAAUGCGUAGAUAUCGGAAGGAACAUCAGUGGCGAAAGCGACUUCCUGGACCAGUACCGACGUUCAGGCACGAAAGCGUGGGGAGCAAACAGG